rnacentral:rRNA from 1 species
UACGGGGGGAGCAAGCGUUGUUCGGAUUCACUGGGUUUAAAGGGUGCGUAGGAGGGCAGGUAAGUCAGUGGUGAAAUCUCCGGGCUUAACUCGGAAACUGCCGUUGAUACUAUCUGUCUUGAAUACCGUGGAGGUGAGCGGAAUAUGUCAUGUAGCGGUGAAAUGCUUAGAUAUGACAUAGAACACCGAUUGCGAAGGCAGCUCACUACACGAAUAUUGACUCUGAGGCACGAAAGCGUGGGGAUCAAACAGG